UACGAAGGGGGCUAGCGUUGUUCGGAAUUACUGGGCGUAAAGGGCGCGUAGGCGGCCUUCUAAGUCGAACGUGAAAUCCCCGGGCUCAACCCGGGAACUGCGUCCGAUACUGGAAGGCUUGAAUCCGGGAGAGGGAUGCGGAAUUCCAGGUGUAGCGGUGAAAUGCGUAGAUAUCAGGAGGAACACCGGUGGCGAAGGCGGAUCUCUGGGCCGAUACUGACGCUGAGGAGCGAAAGCGUGGGGAGCGAACAGG
rnacentral:rRNA from 1 species